UACGGAGGAUCCAAGCGUUAUCCGGAAUCAUUGGGCUUAAAGGGUCCGUAGGCGGUUUUGUAAGUCAGUGGUGAAAGCCCAUCGCUCAACCGUGGAACGGCCAUUGAUACUGCAAGACUUGAAUUAUUGGGAAGUAACUAGAAUAUGUAGUGUAGCGGUGAAAUGCUUAGAGAUUACAUGGAAUACCAAUUGCGAAGGCAGGUUACUACCAAUAUAUUGACGCUGAGGGACGAAAGCGUGGGGAGCGAACAGG
rnacentral:rRNA from 1 species